ensembl:lncRNA
GGUGACCCACUCCAGUAGUCCUGCCUGGAAAAUUCCAUGGACAGAGGAGCCUGGCGGGUUACAGUCCAUGGGGGCAUCACAUAAAAGUCAGGCAUGACAGAGCACACACGUGCACGCACAUCUGCAGGACUAGGUUCUGUGUCUUUGAUGGCUGUCAGCUGGGGCCGCCCUUAUCCCUAGAACUCAUUCACCAAUUCCUGCCCAGAACCUGCUGUAUCUCAGAACCAGCCAUGGCAUCAAAGCUUCCUCCUCACAUCUCUGUCUCUUCUGGUCUUCAGGGCUCCUGUAAUCACAUUGGGCCCAUCUGAUAAUACAGAAGUGUCUCCCUAUGCUGGGCGUGGAGAAGGAGCAGCUUGGAAUGGCAGCGGACAGCCAGAACAGAUGGACAGCAGCUGAAUCAAUCAAGAAGCGAUUGCAAUCUAUGCAACUUUUUACUCUGAAAAGGAUUUGAGACAUCCCAAAGAAAAUAUAUAUCAUGAAACAAGAUAUAAAAUUAGAUGCGGAAAAUAAAUUUCAAGAGGAAAAUUAAGGCAUGUUCAGAUCAUCCAGUCUGAGCCCCAGAGCUGAUGAGGACAGUGACCUAGGACCCUGCAAAGAGCUAGAAGAGGAUGCAGGGAAGGGAGGAAGGAGGGAAUAAGCUUUGACCUUAGACAGACUUGGAUUCAAAUUCUGGCUCUUUCACUCUCAUCUACUCUGUAUGUGACUUCAAGCUGCCUACUUCAAGCUGGACUACUGAAAGUCGGUUGUGCCUCAGGGAUAAUAAGAGCCACCCCUCAGGGACUGAGGUGAGAACUAAAAUGAGAUCCUGAAGGCACAGUUCACGCAGAGCUGAGCCAGGGCACACAUGAUGAAUGGUUCCCAUUAUAUUUAUUGUUAUCAUCACCAUGAUCUGAAUGGCCUAAAUUCCUGGUGCUUUUUAGCUGAUGCAAAAUUAUUUCUACUUUGAACAGAAUUCAACAAGUUUGUACUUCUUGGAUAUGCCUGCUGCUGUUUAUAAGUAAAGAAGGGUAAGGAGAGUUGUAGCCUUUGAAGAGAAUAUUAGGGAUGAGUCUUACCAGGGUUGUUGUUUUUUUGUUCUCUUUAAAAUUUUUUUUAGUUUGUUUGCCUUUUUUUCUUUUAUUUUUUUAAAGUUUUUUUUUUUUUCCCCCCUUGGGUGGGGGGUGGGUAGUGGCAGUAGGAGGUUAUGUUUUAAGAAGGAAAAAAAUACUAUUGUUACCAGUUAGUUUCUCCUUCAUUUCUCUUUGCCCACUCAGUUUCAUCCUCCUGACUCUCUCCUUCUAAUAAAUCAAUCCCAUGUUUCAAUACAAAGGACCGUUCCUUUUUUUCACUGCUAUUGAAAAGCAGUUUAAUAGACUAGUCCAUCCUUUAGCUAUUUACUGAUAACAGCUUAAGCUCAUUAUCUUUCCCAGAAUAAGGGAAACAGUUGUAGUAUUUUAAUAGUGAAACUUUUCCCACAAAAUUUUUUAAUAGUGAAAGUUCUCAAAAAGUCUUCAUGAAUUGCUAAUCCUAGAAUUUCAGU